GACGAACGCUGGCGGCGUGCUUAACACAUGCAAGUCGAACGGUAAGGCCCUUUCGGGGGUACACGAGUGGCGAACGGGUGAGUAACACGUGGGUAAUCUGCCCUGCACUUCGGGAUAAGCCUGGGAAACUGGGUCUAAUACCGGAUAUGAGCUCUGGCCGCAUGGUCUGGGGUUGGAAAGUUUUUCGGUGCAGGAUGAGCCCGCGGCCUAUCAGCUUGUUGGUGGGGUAAUGGCCUACCAAGGCGACGACGGGUAGCCGGCCUGAGAGGGUGAUCGGCCACACUGGGACUGAGACACGGCCCAGACUCCUACGGGAGGCAGCAGUGGGGAAUAUUGCACAAUGGGCGGAAGCCUGAUGCAGCGACGCCGCGUGGGGGAUGACGGUCUUCGGAUUGUAAACCCCUUUCAGUAGGGACGAAGCGCAAGUGACGGUACCUGCAGAAGAAGCACCGGCCAACUACGUGCCAGCAGCCGCCGUAA
rnacentral:rRNA from 1 species